AUCUAGUUAGCCCAGUGGUAAGGCUUUGGAUCACCAAUCCGGAGACGGCGGGUUCGAUUCCCGCUCCUGUUG
rfam:Aedes albopictus isolate Foshan contig75159, whole genome shotgun sequence.